GUACACACCGCCCGUCACACCAUGGAAGUUGGUCACGCCCGAAGUCGUUACCCCAACCGUAAGGAGGGGGAUGCCUAAGGUAGGACUGAUGACUGGGGUGAAGUCGUAACAAGGUAGCCGUACCGGAAGGUGUGGCUGGAUCACCUCCUUUUAGGGAGACCUAAUCCAUUUAGAAAUCGAAAGCAGUGAAAAUUGCCUAUAGAAACUAAAUUGGUCUAACCUAGGUCGGUCGCAGACUUGAAGUAAAGCUUUCAAACUAUGAUUUGGUUCGAUAAGGGCUAUUAGCUCAGGUGGUUAGAGCGCACCCCUGAUAAGGGUGAGGUCCCUGGUUCGAGUCCAGGAUGGCCCACCUGAAGGAAGUCAAAAAUCAAAAGUCAAAAGUCAAAAUUAAAUAUUUUUGAAGCAUGACUAGAAAUUUUGAGUUCUCUUUGGGGGUUUAGCUCAGUUGGUAGAGCGCCUGCUUUGCAAGCAGGAUGUCAGCGGUUCGAGUCCGCUAACCUCCACAUUGGAAAAAAAACAGCACCUAACUAUAAAAGUUAGACUGCUGGGUGAGAUUCCAGCCAGAACCUUGAAAACUGCAUAAGAGAACGAGAAAAAGCAGGCAGACACAGACAUGAGAGUGUUUCGUGAAAGCAAAGAAAAAUUGUGGUCAAGCUAAUAAGGGCUAAUGGUGGAUACCUAGGCACACAGAGA
rnacentral:misc_RNA from 1 species